AUUGAACGCUGGCGGCAGGCUUAACACAUGCAAGUCGAGCGAGCGGCGGACGGGUGAGUAAUGUCUGGGAAACUGCCUGAUGGAGGGGGAUAACUACUGGAAACGGUAGCUAAUACCGCAUACCCUCAGAUGUGCCCAGAUGGGAUUAGCUAGUAGGUGGGGUAAUGGCUCACCUAGGCGACGAUCCCUAGCUGGUCUGAGAGGAUGACCAGCCACACGGGAACUGAGACCCGGUCCAGACUCCUACGGGAAGCAGCAGUGGGAAAUAUUGCAAAAUGGGCGCAAGCCGGAUGCAGCCAUGCAGAGUGUGUGAAGAAGGCCUUCGGGUUGUGAAGCACUUUCAGCGAGGAGGCGUUACUCGUGGGAGAAGCACCGGCUAACUCCGUGCCAGCAGCCGCGGUAAUUC
rnacentral:rRNA from 1 species